AUGACGCUCUUAAGUUGGAACUGUCGGGGACUAGGGCAGACCCGCACAGUUCGUGAGCUAGUGUGCCUUGUGCGCACAUACAAGCCCAAGCUAGUAUUUCUAUCAGAGACACGGCAAAGCAGUGAGUAUGUCAAUAAGCUGAGAUGGAGGCUUGGCCUCAAGCAUUGUAUUGUGCAACCUCGCGUGGGCAAAAGCGCCGGCAUAGCACUAUUCUAUGAUGAAAGUAUCGAAUGGAGGGGUACCUUUGUGUAUGGGGAACCAAAAGGACAUGAGAGACGCCAUAUGUGGGAGCUCUUGAGGAGAAUAAGA
rnacentral:rRNA from 1 species